CAAUAGCGUAUAUUAAAGUUGUUGCAGUUAAAAAGCUCGUAGUUGGAUUUGUGGCUGUCACGGGCGGCCUAUCACUUAGUGUUAGUGCUUGCCUGUGUCGCCAUCCUUGGGUGGAGCCCGUGUGGCAUUAGGUUGUCGUGCGGGGGAUGCCCAUCGUUUACUGUGAGAAAAUUAGAGUGUUCAAAGCAGGCUUAUGCCGUUGAAUAUGUUAGCAUGGAAUAAUAAGAUAGGACCUCGGUACUAUUUUGUUGGUUUGCGCACCGAGGUAAUGAUUAAUAGGGACAGUUGGGGGUAUUCGUAUUUCAUUGUCAGAGGUGAAAUUCUUGGAUUUCUGGAAGACGAACUACUGCGAAAGCAUUUACCAAGGAUGUUUUCAUUAA
rnacentral:rRNA from 1 species